GCUGAGGAAGCCGCACUCGCUUAUGAUAAAGCCGCUUUUAGGAUGCGCGGUACUAAGGCUCUAUUGAAUUUCCCGCAUAGAAUUGGUUUAAAUGAGCCGGAGCCGGUUAGAGUGACGGUUAAGAGACGAUUAUCUGAAUCGGCUAGUUCAUCGGUAUCAUCAGCUUCGGAAAGUGGCUCGCCUAAGAGGAGGAGAAAGGGUGUAGCGGCUAAGCAAGCCGAAUUAGAAGUUGAGAGCCGGGGACCAAAUG
rnacentral:misc_RNA from 1 species